CAUCUAAGUACCUCGAGGAAAAGAAAUCAACCGAGAUUCCGAAAGUAGCGGCGAGCGAAAUUGGACUAGCCCUUAAGCUUUACACGCGUUAGACGAACAGCCUGGAAAGGCUGACGAUACAGGGUGAUAGUCCCGUAGUUGACGACGUGUGUUCAGUGAAAUCGAGUAGGGCGGGACACGUGAUAUCCUGUCUGAAUAUGGGGGGACCAUCCUCCAAGGCUAA
rnacentral:rRNA from 1 species